CCUACGGGCGGCAGCAGUGAGGAAUAUUGGACAAUGGGCGGGAGCCUGAUCCAGCCAUGCCGCGUGCAGGAAGACUGCCCUAUGGGUUGUAAACUGCUUUUUUACGGGAAGAAACACCCCCACGUGUGGGGGCUUGACGGUACCGUACGAAUAAGGACCGGCUAACUCCGUGCCAGCAGCCGCGGUAAUACGGAGGGUCCGAGCGUUAUCCGGAAUCAUUGGGUUUAAAGGGUCCGUAGGCGGGCGUCUAAGUCAGUGGUGAAAUCUCGCGGCUCAACCGUGAAAUUGCCAUUGAUACUGGUCGCCUUGAAUUAGUGUGAAGUGGCUAGAAUAUGUAGUGUAGCGGUGAAAUGCUUAGAUAUUACAUAGAAUACCGAUUGCGAAGGCAGGUCACUAACACUAUAUUGACGCUGAGGGACGAAAGCGUGGGGAGCGAACAGGAUUAGAUACCCGGGUAGUC
rnacentral:rRNA from 1 species